rnacentral:lncRNA from 1 species
CAGUCUUUUGCUUUAAUUAUAUGAGGUACUUGUUUAAUCAUUCUCAUACACAGCACUCUGAAUAGCCUCGUCUUGAAGAGGAAUUGCUUAAUGUUUGAGGAGUGUCAAACCUGGAGGCAGCAGAGUAGAAGAGAGAGAGAGGAGAGGUUCAUCAACUUCAGGGCAAAACCAACAAAAGACUGCUUCCAUUCCUGAAUAUAGAAACUUCAAAAUUAACGUCCAGGUACUUUCCAGACUGUCGCCCACAACCCAUCCAAAGGAACAAACACUUCUUCCUUAUGGACUCUGUGCCUAUCCCAGAACUAGCCCACUUCACCUGCCACCCACGUAAGUUAUAGCCAAUGUAAAUUCUUUCAAAACAACUUAUAGCUUUCUUCCAUUCCUUGAUGUACAAAAA